GAUCCUGGCUCAGAACGAACGCUGGCGGCAUGGAUUAGGCAUGCAAGUCGAACGGGUGCAGCAAUGCACCAGUGGCGCAAGGGUGAGGAACACGUGAGUAAUCUACCCUCAAGAUUGGGAUAGUUCCUGGAAACGGGAAUUAAUACCGGAUGAAACAGUUUGCCCGCAUGGGUGAACUUUUAAAGCAGCAAUGCGCUUGAGGAGGAGCUCGCGUCCCAUUAGCUGGUUGGUGAGGUAACGGCCCACCAAGGCGAUGAUGGGUAGCUGGUCUGAGAGGACGAUCAGCCACAUUGGGACUGAGAAACUGCCCAGACUCCUACGGGAGGCUGCAGUCGAGAAUUUUGGGCAAUGAGCGAAAGCUUGACCCAGCCAAUGCCGCGUGCGGGAUGAAGGUCUUCGGAUUGUAAACCGCUGUUGAGAGGGACGAAGAUUGACGGUACCUCUAGAGGAAGCCACGGCUAACUACGUGCCAGCAGCCGC
rnacentral:rRNA from 1 species